rnacentral:rRNA from 1 species
GAUGAACGCUGGCGGCGUGCCUAAUACAUGCCAGUCGAGCGAACAGACGAGGAGCUUGCUCCUUCGACGUUAGCGGCGGACGGGUGAGUAACACGUAGGUAACCUACCUAUAAGACUGGGAUAACUUCGGGAAACCGGAGCUAAUACCGGAUAAUAUUUCGAACCGCAUGGUUCGAUAGUGAAAGAUGGCUUUGCUAUCACUUAUAGAUGGACCUGCGCCGUAUUAGCUAGUUGGUAAGGUAACGGCUUACCAAGGCAACGAUACGUAGCCGACCUGAGAGGGUGAUCGGCCACACUGGAACUGAGACACGAUCCAGACUCCUACGGGAGGCAGCAGUAGGGAAUCUUCCGCAAUGGGCGAAAGCCUGCCGGAGCAACGCCGCGUGAGUGAUGAAGGUCUUCGGAUCGUAAAACUCUGUUAUUAGGGAAGAACAAACGUGUAAGUAACUGUGCACGUCUUGACGGUACCUAAUCAGAAAGCCACGGCUAACUACGU